rnacentral:rRNA from 1 species
UACGUAGGUGGCUAGCGUUGUCCGGAUUUACUGGGCGUAAAGAGCGCGCAGGCGGUCGUUCAAGUCGAGUGUGAAAGCCCCCGGCUCAACUGGGGAGGGUCACUCGAUACUGAUCGACUCGAAGGCAGGAGAGGGAAGUGGAAUUCCCGGUGUAGUGGUGAAAUGCGUAGAUAUCGGGGAGGAACACCAGUGGCGAAGGCGACUUCCUGGCCUGUUCUUGACGCUGAGGCGCGAAAGCUAGGGGAGCAAACGGG